ensembl:lncRNA
AUGCUCCUCUGCUGGAUCCAGCUUGCCCUGUGUAAGACAAUGGGGCACAGGACGAGGACAACACCUCUUCUGACUAAGCCAAAAAUCACCAUCCAUACACUGCUGCACUGUUAUUACUUGUUGGACUUUAAGGAGACAUUAAGGAGCAAAGGCAUUUUUUCCCCAUCAUGUAACACAAAAAUUCCCACAGAUUGCCAUGUACAUGAGCAGCAGCAGGGGUUAUUUCCAGCUAAGCCAGUUUAAAUGCAUUUGAUCAUUUUGAUUAAACACAUUCUUCAUGGUGCUGAGAGGCAAAACUGAAACAGCAGAAAGAGCUACGGAUCUAAACAGGAGUCAGCUGACAGCAGUGUAUGAGGAUUUAAGUCUUAUAUUCUGUUCAGUCCUGUGUUAAUUUUGUUCCUUUUUAGGCAAGCUGAGGAUGAGACUCUACAAACCCUCAGGAAAUGUCACUGUCAGUGGAGACAGUCUUGGCUGCUCUGUUCCUUCCUUGUGCCCCCUCCCAGAGCAUGCUGCUGCAGUUAUGGGAUGGCCUGGGAUACCUCCUGCACCAAUGAAACAUGGCCAAAAGGCAGAGGUCAGGCCUGAAAUAACAGAGGACUGUGUGCUCUGGGACUGACAGCUUUUAAUGUGAGAAAAGUCAUUCAGCACUGACAUUUCUGCUGCAUUAAUUGCCAUUAGUGUCAUCCUUGCGGGAACACUAAAUUCAUUGCAAACCUUGAAUUAAUGCUCUCUCAUAAUUCUUCAGUUUGUGCUUGGAUGCAACCAUUUGCGGAGGCAGCACGUUCCAAGCAACUGGAGCAGAGACAAGGAAUGAUACUCGGCUGGCCCUUGGAUGUUCAAUUUAGCGAAGAAAAGAAGCAGAGGUCAUACUCAUAACUGCGCAUUUAUGGUUCUGCUCUGGAAAUUCAUGGAGCAGCUGCCAAAAAGGCCCCAGCUCUUGCCUCGGCAGUACCAAUGUGUGUUGGGCUCCCAGCUCAGAGUGGCUCAGCUCCAAGCACUGUGCAUCUGAUUCUUUCCUCACACCCUCCCGUCAUCCUCCCUCUUCUUGCCUGUCACUGGCUCCUCAGACCCCAAGAGAAAUCCUGGUUCUACAGCUCAAAUAAGAAGAAAUGGGCCCAAUCAAAAAUACUUCCUCUAUAUCACUCUGGAGAUGGAAUAACAAAGGAUCUGGAACUAAACAUGGACAUAUCCAGAGUCAAACCUCAUCCUGGUUCCAGAGAUCUGCAUGGCACUGAGAAAAGAGUGGGAAUGGAGCAGUUCUAGAAAAAUCGAAUAUCUUCUGAUGGCAUUUUUGCUAGUCCAAUAUUACAAUAAGCAGAAGGGAAGGAAUAUCUCCUGCAGCCUUUGGGAAGAGGGAUCGAGUGCCACAGACUUGAUGACUUGGUGUUUCUUAUGAUGACUGUGAGAAUGAAGUCAUCGGUUUCCUGCAUCCAUUUUGGACUCAGCACAUAUCUCCCAGCCUAUGUCUGUUGUCUCCAGAGACAAAUUAGCAAGAUAGUACUGGCAGCUCCAGGGCAACUGCUGGCCAAGAUACAAUUUCUGAGGUGUUCUCAAAAUCUUACUCUUACUAGACCUGCACAGGAUUUUAUUUCUUAUUAAAGGCCAAAAUCUACUUGCUGAUGAUAUAUUUAACAGGAGCAUCGCUACCAGAUAAACACAAUGUCAUCAUCACAUCGCUCAUCAUUUGCUAAUUCUGAUUCGAACAGUCAGCCCUGGAGAAGGAAGGAGGCAGCUUGACUUCUGCGGCUCGUCCAUUCACUGCUGAAACAACCAGCAGAGCAGGCUGGCUGUGCUCAGCAUGGCAAUGUUCGUUGUGAAGCUCUGCAAUUACCCAAGGAGCCAGGCUGUGGCUCUAAAACUUUGCUCAUUGAGAUCAUUAGAGGGCUGUCAGACAGAACAACUGGGAUGGCUUUGAUCUGGCAAAACACCCUUCCUCCUGCUCCCCUACCUUGGGAACCGGCCAGUUCCUCAUAAUCAUUUUUUUUUCAAGCCAUUCACACAACACUCAUUGUUUUUUCAUAGGGUGCAAUAAAUUCUGCGGGCAAACUGAAGACUGUAACAGCUGGAUAGAUUAAUGUAUUAAAUAGAAGUCUGAAUAUUUCAAUGAUUCUUCCAUAAAUACGUUCAUAGCUGAUUUUGCCAAGAAAAUGACAAAACGUUGCGCAGAAUCCCAAAGAUAUUCCCUACCAAUCCACUAGGUGUCCUACUGUUUACAAGUAAUUAGGCUCAACUUCUAAUUAUUUAUUUAUUUAUCUAGCUGCCUGUUUAUUUAUUUAUUUUUGUCCUGAUUUUGCCAGCGAGAAAUUAGAGUCUUUAGUGGAAUUAGGUCUGGGUUUCCAGGUUGAAAUAACACAGAUGUAUGGGUCGUGUGACAGCAGGACAUCUGGCACACAGCAGUAGCUCUUUUGGCAAAUGCUGCUGAUGUUUCCCAUAGAGACCAGCUCAAGGUUAUAGGCUGCAAAGAAAUAGGAAAAGAAUCUGCUUUCCUCUCCUGGGAAUACUAACCAAGAUCCAUCCGAGCCUCUCCUAGAUCAACCUUGGGCUGCUAUUUAUAGGACUGCUAAAGUGAGCCCAACGCUGACCUUAAAGGUGAUGGCAAAAUGUGUCCUUAAUCAGAGCCGCUCCGCACAGGCUGCAAUUUUGACAUUCCUGGUCACCGUUCCAGUCCCUGAUGGGUCCUGCUGCCUGCCAGCACUCGCGCCUGGCUGCAAAGGCCAGCACAGCACCCGCUCACGAGGUGUCCUGGCACUUCCAACACAGAGG